rnacentral:rRNA from 1 species
ACCGUAUGUGCCCUUCGGGGGAAAGAUUUAUCGGUAACGGAUCGGCCCGCGUUGGAUUAGCUAGUUGGUGGGGUAAAGGCCUACCAAGGCGACGAUCCAUAGCUGGUCUGAGAGGAUGAUCAGCCACAUUGGGACUGAGACACGGCCCAAACUCCUACGGGAGGCAGCAGUGGGGAAUAUUGGACAAUGGGCGCAAGCCUGAUCCAGCCAUGCCGCGUGAGUGAUGAAGGCCCUAGGGUUGUAAAGCUCUUUCACCGGAGAAAAUAAUGACGGUAUCCGGAGAAGAACCCCCGGCUAACUUCGUGCCAGCAGCCGCGGUAAUACGAAGGGGGCUAGCGUUGUUCGGAUUUACUGGGCGUAAAGCGCACGUAGGCGGACAUUUAAGUCAGGGGUGAAAUCCCAGAGCUCAACUCUGGAAACAGCCUUUGAUAAUGGGUGUCUGGAGUAUGGAAGAGGUGAGCGGAAUUCCGAGUCUAGAGGUGAAAUUCGUAGAUAUUUGGAGGAACACCAGUGGCGAAGGCGGCUCACUGGUCCACUAUUGACGCUGAGGUGCGAAAGCGUGGGGAGCAAACAGGAUUAGAUACCCCUGGUAGUUCACGCCGUAAACGAUGAAUGUUAGCCGUCGGGCAGUUUACUUGUUUGGUGGCGCAGCUAACGCAUUAAACAUUCCGCCUGGGGAGUACGGUCGCAAGAUUAAAAAUCAAAGGAAUUGACGGGGGCCCGCACAAGCGGUGGAGCAUGUGGUUUAAUUUGAAGCAACGCGCAGAACCUUACCAGCCCUUGACAUGCCCGGCCAUCUGCAGAGAUGCAGAGUUCCCUUUGGGGACCGGGACACAGGUGUUGCAUGGCUGUCGUCAGCUCGUGUCGUGAGAUGUUGGGUUAAGUCCCGCAACGAGCGCAACCCUCGCCCUUAGUUGCCAGCAUUCAGUUGGGCACUCUAAGGGGACUGCCGGUGAUAAGCCGAGAGGAAGGUGGGGAUGACGUCAAGUCCUCAUGGCCCUUACGGGCUGGGCUACACACGUGCUACAAUGGUGGUGACAGUGGGCAGCGAGCACGCGAGUGUGAGCUAAUCUCCAAAAGCCAUCUCAGUUCGGAUUGCACUCUGCAACUCGAGUGCAUGAAAUUGGAAU